rnacentral:rRNA from 1 species
GGUAUAUAUGGGGAGCCGACCCCGAAUAAAAAGGAAAAUGCGUGGAGGUUAUUGAGGAAUCUUAAUGCGCAAAUGGAGAGGCCUUGGUUAUGUUUGGGAGAUUUCAAUGAAAUCUUUCACAAUCACGAAAAAAGAGGAGACCAACCAAGGAACCAAAUCCACUUGGACAGAUUCAAAGAGACCCUGGAAUAUUGUGGAUUAAGGGACUUAGGAUAUGAAGGGGAUAAGUACACAUGGAGGAACCACAACCAUAUAGCAGCAAAUUAUGUAAUGGAGAGAGUAGAUAGAGCAGUAGCAUCCGAGGGUUAG